UUUCCGUAGGUGAACCUGCGGAAGGAUCAUUACAGAGUUCAUGCCCUAACGGGUAGACCUCCCACCCUUUGUUAUACCUACCUUUGUUGCUUUGGCAGGCCGCCUUCGGGCUCCCGGCUUCGGCUGGGGUGUGCCUGCCAGAGGACCCCAACUCUUUUGUUUAUAUGUCGUCUGAGUACUAUAUAAUAAGUUAAAACUUUCAACAACGGAUCUCUUGGUUCUGGCAUCGAUGAAGAACGCAGC
rnacentral:misc_RNA from 1 species